AGAGUUUGAUCAUGGCUCAGGAUGAACGCUAGCGGCAGGCUUAAUACAUGCAAGUCGAACGGUAAGUAGUGUAGCAAUACAUUACCAAGAGUGACGUACGGGUGCGUAACACGUAUGCAACCUACCUAUAACAGGAGGAUAGCUCGGGGAAACUCGAAUUAACCCUCCAUAAUAUAAUUGAAUGGCAUCAUUUGAUUAUUAAAACUCCGGUGGUUAUAGAUGGGCAUGCGUCUGAUUAGUUAGUUGGCGGGGUAACGGCCCACCAAGACGAUGAUCAGUAGGGGAACUGAGAGGUUGAUCCCCCACACUGGCACUGAGAUACGGGCCAGACUCCUACGGGAGGCAGCAGUAGGGAAUAUUGGUCAAUGGGUGCAAGCCUGAACCAGCCAUGCCGCGUGCAGGAAGAAGGCCUUCUGGGUUGUAAACUGCUUUUGCCAGGGGAUAAAAUGAGCGUGCGCGCUUAAUUGAAGGUACCUGAUGAAUAAGCCACGGCUAACUACGUGCCAGCAGCCGCGGUA
rnacentral:rRNA from 1 species